UACGUAGGUGGCGAGCGUUGUCCGGAUUUACUGGGUGUAAAGGGAGCGUAGGCGGACUUUUAAGUGAGAUGUGAAAUACUCGGGCUCAACUUGAGUGCUGCAUUUCAAACUGGAAGUCUAGAGUGCAGGAGAGGAGAAUGGAAUUCCUAGUGUAGCGGUGAAAUGCGUAGAGAUUAGGAAGAACACCAGUGGCGAAGGCGAUUCUCUGGACUGUAACUGACGCUGAGGCUCGAAAGCGCGGGGAGCAAACAGG
rnacentral:rRNA from 1 species